rnacentral:lncRNA from 1 species
UACCACCACCAUUAAUUAAAGAAAAACUUCAAAAAUCUUCCCUGUAGUUUCGCAGUUUCUUACUUUAAUACCCUGUGAUUUAAAAUGUAUCAAUUUGUUCCCAUGUGGUUUCGUUUUUCUAUUUUUAUUAUCAAUUUUAUUAUUUUUUUUCUUAAAUCAGUGACAGAGUUAAAAUUAAAGGAUACUAAAUUGAAUAUUCGAUAAAUCUAGAUGAGUAUCUGAAGUUUUUUUGUAUGUAAUUUAAUGAAAUAUUAACCAAAAAGCUACCGAAAAGAUAAAAACGAAACCACAGGGGAGCAAAUUGAUACACUUUAAACCACAAGGUACAAAAGUGAGAAAGUAAGAAACCACAGGGGGGGUUUUUGAAGUUUUCCCUUAAUUUUAAAUGGAUG